AUUGAACGCUGGCGGCAGGCCUAACACAUGCAAGUCGAACGAGUGGCGGACGGGUGAGUAGUGUCUGGGAAACUGCCUGUUGGAGGGGGAUAACUACUGGAAACGGUAGCUAAUCCCGCAUACCAUCAGAUGUGCCCAGAUGGGAUUAGCUAGUGGGUGGGGUAAAGGCUCACCAAGGCGACGAUCCCUAGCUGGUCUGAGAGGAUGACCAGCCACACGGGAACUGAGAAACGGCCAAGACUCCUACGGGAGGCAGCAGUGGGGAAUAUUGCACAAUGGGCGCAAGCCGGAGGCAGCCAGGCCGCGUGUAUGAAGAAGGCCUUAGGGUUGUAAAGUACUUUCAGCGGGGAGGCGUUACCCGCAGAAGAAGCACCGGCUAACUCCGUGCCAGCAGCCGCGGUAAUAC
rnacentral:rRNA from 1 species